ACACCUGUUCGCCCUGUCUUAGGGAUGGGCCGUGAAUUCCCCGAGAUACAGAGUGAGUCACUGCGAGACCGUGGAGCGGAAUUUACUCAUCCCCCAGGAAUGGACCCUUGGAAGGCUCCAGAAUGACUAGUCUCAAGUGUUCUGUCUCAGGCACAGGGCAUUUUCCCCCCCGAACUAUGUCUGCAGUCACUUCCUCUCUGGACACAUCCUGUUUCUGGGAGCAGGCGACUUGCCAGGCAGAUCACAGCCUCUGCUGCUGGGAGCAGACGGGCGGAGACAUCCUUCCUCUAAUUUCUAGUACCUAAUCCCAUCUUCCUUCCCAGUCAGAGAUAUCAAUCAGCAUCUCCGCUUUUCCCAGGUCCCUGCACGCCAGGAAGGGAGCAUACAGAAGAGCGUGUUUCUAUUGGCAACUCCAACUUACAAGAGGUGCUUAGAGACCACUGUUGAUUCGCCACCAGCUUCUCAGGCACAGGUUCGUAAUCUUUGCUAUCAUUUUAGUGAGGUCUCCUGAGGCACAGGAGAAAAACCCAGAGGGACAAUCUGCCAUUAUUAAAAAGUAAAUUGGAACAUUAUACCGAUAGCACCACGUCGCAGAAAAUCCGGAGGUAAAAAAGGUGGGGGAACUCUCUCGUCUCUCAUGCCAACAAAACCAUGUUAUGAUUCUGGUGUGCUGCUCAUGUGAUUCCUUGCUAUGCAUGUUUUCAGACUGUGGUCAUGUUCUUGGUUUGCAUAAAGUUUAGAUCCUUCCUUUUUCACUUAACUUUUGCAUCAAAAGCAUUUCCCCUGCAUUUUGACAUAAUCUUUAUAAUCAUUUCUUUAAAGGUUGUACACAAGUCCAUCAGGGAGAUUUACAAGAAUACACUUUAAGCAGAA